rnacentral:rRNA from 1 species
UACGUAGGGGGCAAGCGUUGUCCGGAAUUACUGGGCGUAAAGAGCUCGUAGGUGGUUUGUCGCGUUGUUCGUGAAAACCGGGGGCUUAACCCUCGGCGUGCGGGCGAUACGGGCAGACUUGAGUACUGCAGGGGAGACUGGAAUUCCUGGUGUAGCGGUGGAAUGCGCAGAUAUCAGGAGGAACACCGGUGGCGAAGGCGGGUCUCUGGGCAACAACUGACGCUGAGGAGCGAAAGCGUGGGGAGCGAACAGG